rnacentral:rRNA from 1 species
AGGACGAACGCUGGCGGCGUGCUUAACACAUGCAAGUCGAGCGAGGCCCUUCCUUCGGGAAGGUGCCCUAGCGGCGAACGGGUGAGUAACACGUGGGCAAUCUGCCCCUAGCACUGGGAUAACUCCGGGAAACCGGGGCUAAUACCGGAUAUGACCUCUGAGGGCAUCCUCUGGAGGUGGAAAGGAUCCUGGCUAGGGAUGAGCCCGCGGCCUAUCAGCUUGUUGGUGGGGUAACAGCCUACCAAGGCGACGACGGGUA